CCAUCUUUCCACCUUACCCCUUUUUUUAAAAGCUUCAGAAGAGAGAAGAAAGGGAAAAAGGACAGAGAAGAAAGGGGUGGUGACCGGAGAAUCACCGCCGUCACACCACCAUGACGGUCACCAUCUCCGGUGUUUCUGUUUUCUUUGUGGGUUUUUCCUCUGUAGAGAGAGAAGAAAGGGGUGGUGACCGGAGAAAGACGAGAGAGGGCCGGUGACCGGAGUGUCACCACUGUCUCACCACACGCCGGUUGCCAUCUGGUGUCUCUGUUUUGUGUGGGUUUUUACCUAUAUACGACUGCUGGGCUCUUUUUAUAUAGCACCACCUCUUUUCCUCUCUCUACAAAUCUCCAUUUCUCUCUCUAGACGGCCUGGAAAUGAACAGAGUUUGUGUUUGUGGUUUGACCCGAUUGACCUAUUUGGGCGGUCAUCCCCCUUGAUAUGCGUGUCCUCCAGCUUUACAUCGUACGCCUCUUUAAGAAGAGAGAGGGGCGGUGAUCGGAGGGUCACCACCGGCUGUGUCCAGCCGUUUUGGCGGCAACCAGUUUCAACAUAAAACCCUAGCCGGCAUUUUAGGCGACGACGGAUAGAGGUCUUGCGAGGUUUCAGCCUUUCGCCUACCCAACGAUGAUGGUGGCUUGCUACUUGGUAUGGCAACUCCGGUUGCAACCGUAGCGCCACUGUGCGGGUUCAAGGACGAUGAUGAUCUUUUUUUUAUCCGAGUCAAUUAGCGUUGAUGAUUUCGUUUUUUUGUAUUAUUGUUGAAAUGAUUAUGUUGGUGGUGGUUAGGUUGUGAGUGCUUAGAUGGUGAACUUUGCUGCUGGUGUUAGUAAGGAGUCAUUUUUUUAUAUUGAAUGAGUUGUUUCGGUUCCAUUCUGAGGCUAUUAAGCCAACAGGUUGACAUUUAAGUGAGCAAGAUUCACUAUGUAAACAGGUCUGCAACUAUGCUUCCUAUAAAUAUUGAGGAUGCUGCUAGAAGUGAAGUUGAAACUGAGAUGGCUUUGGAGGUCUCAACUUGUGGUUAGGUCCAUGAGUCGAUGAAGCAGGUCCAUCACAAUGUUCAUACAUGGAAGUAAUGCUUUUAAUUUGUUUAUGAUCCCUUUUUAGUACACAAUUGGCGCUCGCAUAACGCGAUCGAUAAAGUAAGUCGAUGUGUUGCCUGGCUUAAACAACAUGUAUAAACGUAUAAAGUUGGUCCAUGUGACAUGCAUUAAUACAUUUUGUUGUUAAGCUUUAUCCAAAUUUUC
rnacentral:lncRNA from 1 species